rnacentral:RNase_P_RNA from 1 species
AGAGUUGGUCUAGAGGUUGCGGAAUCAUUUUAUCAAUGAUUGCGAGGAAAGUCCGAACUCCCGAAAGACCACACUUGCUGGAUAACGUCCAGUGCGCGUGAGCGUGAGGAUAGUGCCACAGAAAAAUACCGCCCCCUUUUUUCAGUAAUCAGUAAACAGUAAUCAGUAACGAAAGUAAAUUCGCUGAUAACUGAUAACUGAUUGGGGGUAAGGGUGCAAAGGUGCGGUAAGAGCGCACCAGCAGUAUCGAGAGGUACUGGCUCGGUAAACCCCGGUGGGGAGCAAGGUGGAGGGACAAAGGUUGGUCUUUUUCCUGUCCCGUUUUUAGGAACCGCUUGAGGUAAUUGGUGACAAUUAUCCCAGAUAGAUAACCUCUAUUCCAACAAAGGUAAAAGCGAUUUUACUGCUGUUGGGAAAUACAGAAUUCGGCUUAUGUCUGACUCUCUCC